UCUCUGUGGAGCUGUUGAGUUUUCUCCUUCCUGGAGGUGGCAGGAUCUUCCAUUCAUUCUGACAGCAGCCCACAUACAGACACCCAUCUAGCUUUGGAAGGUGGGCUGAGACCCAGGGUGAACAUGCCAGCUAAUGAGACAUUACUCCAGAGGUUCUCUGCCUUGGUUCCGGGACAACCUGACAGAUCAUUUAAGCCAUCUGUGUAGAUUGCUCAUCAUCACCUGCCGUGAACACCGUGAAAACCAUGCUGCUCCUCCUGGCCAAUGUGAUGGCGACCUGAAUGGUGCCCAGGAAUCACAGCAUCACUCCCCUCUCCUCUGCUGUCUGUUAUAAGGACAUUUGUCAUUGGAUUUAGGGUCCGCCCAGUGUACCAACAGGAUUUGCCCCGAAGAAAAUUUGUGUAUAGCCACGGAGGCUGCAAUGGCCACUGACCCUCUGCAGUUCGUGCUUCGGGACCUGCAGGAACUCCAUCUUGUCCUGCAGGCCUAAUUGAGUCUUCAAAAGGCCAUUCCACCAUUCUAUCAAGCCAGCUGCUUCGGGAUGGUGGGGAACAUGAUUGUUGUUACAGGGAUCUGUAUCUUUCGAGGAUGUGGCUGUGGAUUUUACCCGACAGGAGUGGCACAGACUGGACCCUGCUCAGAGGACCAUGCACAAGGAUGUGAUGCUGGAGAACUACAGCAACCUGGCAUCUGUGGCUCAUGAAGAUGCACCUUCCUCCUCCAUCAGAGGCCCUAAAGCUCAGACAACCUGGCCCAUGUCCUGUGCCAUUUCCCAUUAACAGGCCUCUGCGUGGCCAAACCAGAGAUGAUCUUCAAGUUGGAGCGAGGCGAAGAGCUGUGGAUAUUAGGGGAGGAAUCCUCAGGCCAUGGUUACCCAGGUGAGUGAGCAAGAACUGGGCAUAUGGAUAACGGGAGAUGAGAGCCCAGGAAUUCAGG